rnacentral:rRNA from 1 species
AAUGAACGCUGGCGGCGUGCCUAACACAUGCAAGUCGGAUGUGCCCGUAAGGGUGCAUGGCAGACGGGUGAGUAACGCGUGGGGAAUCUACCUCUUUGUGGGGAAUAACGCUCCGAAAGGAGUGGUAAUACCGCAUGAGACCAAUGGCUGGAAUGUUGUUGGUGAAACCUGGGGACCGCAAGGCCUGGGGCAAGGAGAGGAUCCUGCGUCUGAUUAGCUAGUUGGCGGGGUAAUGGCCCACCAAGGCGACGAUCAGUAGCCGGCCUGAGAGGGUGAUCGGCCACACUGGAACUGAGACACGGUCCAGACUCCUACGGGAGGCAGCAGUGGGGAAUUUUGCGCAAUGGGCGAAAGCCUGACGCAGCAACGCCGCGUGGGUGAUGAAGGUCUUCGGAUCGUAAAACCCUGUCGUCGGGGACGAAGGUUGUAUGCCUAACAGGUGUGCAAUUUGACGGUACCCGGAGAGGAAGCCCCGGCUAACUCUGUG